rnacentral:pre_miRNA from 7 species
GGAAGUCUCUGAAGUAUGCUGUUGUCCAGAGCCCUUUUUCUGUUGUACUACUGGCAAUUAUGAUGAGCAGUGCAAUAUUAAAAGGGCAUUGGCUGGCAGAAACAUGACCCCCUUUAGCA